GCAGCAGAGGAAGAUGUUUUUGUAACCAAGCUCUCCCUUGGGGCUACUCACGUAAAAGUGUUUCCUUCAGUUCUGCAAAACGGCGUCUAUCUUUUUUGGACUGACGUUUCUGCUGAUUUCAAGAGCAGAACAGUGUCCGCACUGAAAUAACAGACUCCUUGGACAAGAUUGUUCGUUGCUGCAUGUUGACUCUGCAGCGUUGAAACCCAGGACACAUGAAAUCUGAAUCCAGCAGGUCUAGGAAUUGAGAAGGCUUUCAAAGAUGCAUGCCUCUCCUUUUUGCAAGGGGAGAAACUGUCAUCCUCUCCGAAAACAUCAAAUGAGAGAAGAGUGCCUAAGUUCCACUGAUGUGCUUCGUGGACCUAUUUCUAAUUUGCAGUGGGCGCACAGACUGUGAAAGGGACUUUCCAAAGAAAUUUGUACAGUGGAAUUUUGGUCCUGAAGCAAAGCCGCAGGCAGAGGCAAAAGGUCUGUCUCCCGUGCGACCCCGCUCGCUCCUCCGCCGGUCCUCCUCCACAGUCAUUCUGUGGGAAGCAGAUGGGAUAAGGGUGAGAUGGUUUAAUCAGACACUCAAAUAAUUGGUCUACACUACCAGUCCAAAUGUUUUAAAAAAUCUCAAUUAGUUACAUCCAAAAAAAAAAAUCACUUUUUAAAUUACGACCAUGUCUGAAUUCUUUGAACUUGUCAUGCGCUGACAUGCUUGCCACAUGCUCAGCUAGGAGUUAUUUGUGUGUUCAUUCUUUUCUACCAUGAGGUCCAG